UAUCGGAUUGAUACUAAGCCAUGCGAGUCAUUGUAGUAAUACAAGGCAGACGGCUCAGUAACGCGUAGUCAACCUACCCUAUGGACGGGAAUAACCUCGGGAAACUGAGUAUAAUGCCCGAUAGAACACUAUACCUGGAAUGGUUUGUGUUCCAAAUGAUUUAUCGCCGUAGGAUGGGACUGCGGCCUAUCAGUUUGUUGGUGAGGUAAUGGCCCACCAAGACUAUUACAGGUACGGGCUCUGAGAGGAGUAGCCCGGAGAUGGGUACUGAGACACGGACCCAGGCCCUAUGGGGCGCAGCAGGCGAGAAAACUUUGCAAUGUGCGAAAGCACGACAAGGUUAAUCCGAGUGGUUUGUGCUAAACGAACCUUUUGACAGUCCUAGAAACACUGUUGAAUAAGGGGUGGGCAAGUUCUGGUGUCAGCCGCCGCGGUAAAACCAGCACCUCAAGUGGUCAGGAUGAUUAUUGGGCCUAAAGCAUCCGUAGCCGGCUCUGUAAGUUUUCGGUUAAAUCUGUACGCUCAACGUACAGGCUGCCGGGAAUACUGCAGAGCUAGGGAGUGGGAGAGGUAGACGGUACUCGGUAGGAAGGGGUAAAAUCCUUUGAUCUAUUGAUGACCACCUGUGGCGAAGGCGGUCUACCAGAACACGUCCGACGGUGAGGGAUGAAAGCUGGGGGAGCAAACCGGAUUAGAUACCCGGGUAGUCCCAGCUGUAAACUAUGCAAACUCAGUGAUGCAUUGGCUUGUGGCCAAUGCAGUGCUGCAGGGAAGCCGUUAAGUUUGCCGCCUGGGAAGUACGUACGCAAGUAUGAAACUUAAAGGAAUUGGCGGGGGAGCACCACAAGGGGUGAAGCCUGCGGUUCAAUUGGAUUC
rnacentral:rRNA from 1 species